UACAACGUGAUUGCAAACAUUGUUCGGCCAACAAGUGUUUGUGAUGAGAUCCAACGCACACUGACGUCAGAAAACAUUGUUUGGUCAAAAGAUGUUAGCUGUUCUGUGGUGGAGCCAUGUUGGCUCAGUGAAUAUUGCGCUGGCUCAGGUGCUCCUAGGUUCCCCCUUCUCAGUGGUGCUGGACAGGAGCAAGGAAAAGGUGCUGGAUUCUUCCUUCAGAGAAACAAUAAACAAAAGGAACGAAUAACAAAAUGAAGACGAAAUCAACCACAUACCAUGUCUAAAUGUUCGUCUGCUUUGUCAAAUGUCGGUAUUGCGUGCAUGUCUGUAAAUGUUUGUGCUUGUCUAAAUGUUUGUCCAUAUUCAUGUCUGUUUUGUCACAAAUUCGUCUGUUGUCAAUGUCUACUGGCACUUCUUUAUUCUUUGCACCACUUAUCUCAUGUCUCGUCCUGUUAUCUAUUGUCUUCUGUAUAUACAGUGCACUCUGUCACAUCCGACAUCGUACGGGAUCGUUACAAUAUGUCGGAUUACGCAGAGUGUCGGAAUACCCAGUUUUCUCAAAACCGGAAAAAUUGGAACUUAUAAUGUAGCCUUCGAAUAUAGAACUUCGAAUCACCAGAAUGUUAUUCCCUUUAAAAAUGAUAAACCUUUCUGUACAUUCAAAAUUUUAUUACAUUACUUUUUAUUUCAUUUAAUAUGCGUAGGCAUUUUGAAUAGGUCAAAUCUGUCAUUAAUUUGUCUUCUUCGCCAUCUUAAGUUGAUCGCACGCUUGUCUUUGCUAUCACGUGUUCAUUGAUAAUUGGGCGUACUCAAUUGAACGUUCCGGAAUUGAAUUCUCUCAAUCCCAAAAAUAUUGACAAUCGAGUGAAAAUGGGUACUUCGGGCUACAACGCAUGCAUCGACUGGAUAUAUAAAUAUCUCAUCCAACCAUGCAGCCGAAACCUGUUCGUCGUGUUUAAUUACGUCAGAAUUCUACUCACACCACCUCCGUCGUCGGGACUAACAGAACUGUGACAGGACUGACUUCCGCGUCACUCGAUUGCAAUUCUGUCAAUUUGGGACGUUCCGGACUGUGAAUCAAGCAUCGUCACACGGUUCGAAGACAUCUGUAGGGUGACCAAACUUAUAGGUUAUUCAGGUUCAAUCGGCAUGCGCAACGAAUGUUUCCAACAGGUGCGAGGAAUAUUUUUACGACUGUGAAUUCGGGGGAAAAUUCGUGGAUAUUCUUGAGUAUUUGUCACAACUGUCGUACAAGAGAUAAAAAUUAUCAAAGUAAUCAACAAAGACCCACGGUAGCGUAUAUAUAUAUAAACCUAACUAUCCUUUUUCCACUAAUCACAAUGUAAAUAUUUCACUAUGUAUAUAUAACAUGUAAUUGUCUGCGAUAUCACCUCGGUGGAAGCGGACGUUAAAUAAAGCUAUUUCACACAUACAGAGUUAUUAGAAGGCUUUUGUAAUACGUCUGUGAAACAGAUUGGCGUAACUAAUGUGUAUCUUGUUUACCAGAUAUUUUUAUAUUUUGUUUAUAUGACGUUUAUUUUGUUUAUCUAAUGUGUAUCUUGUGUACCACAUAUGUAUUUUGUUUAUCU